rnacentral:rRNA from 1 species
AUGGGGGAGUACGCGGCGGCCAAGACGUCGGUGUGGUGGGACAUCGAGAACUGCGCCGUCCCGCGCAGCUGCGACCCCCAGCUCAUCGUCCAGAACAUGAGCUCCGCCCUCGCCACCGCCGGCUACCGCGGCCCCAUCUCCGUCUCCGCCUACGGGGACACCCACCAAAUCGCCCACAACGUCCAGCACGCCCUCUCCAGCACCGGCGUCUCCCUCCACCACGUCCCCGCCGCGAAUGCAGGCAUUAAAGAUGCAAGUGAUAAGAAGAUCUUGGUUGACAUGCUGUUCUGGGCUAUUGACAAUCCUCCACCAGCAAAUUAUCUGCUUAUCUCUGGUGACCGGGACUUCUCUCAUGCCAUUCAUAAGCUUAAAAUGAGGCGAUACAAUAUUUUAUUGGCACAACCUCCAAACGUGUCUCAAACACUUACUGCUGCAGCAAAGAGUGUUUGGCUCUGGAAAAGCCUUGUGGCUGGAGAACCACCAUUAGAACAGUCACCAUACAUAAGCAGCACAUCUUGUGGCAAUAAGGAUGAUUUGGCUACAUCAAGGAACAUAGUUUCUAGUUCUUUGGAUGUGACUCAAGAUGCCAACCCUGAAGUGCAGAAUAUUUUGUAUGAUCGUCAAAGCGGUUCUAAUGGCAUGGCAGAUAAGAAAUGUGAAGUUAAGCGACCUCGAGAAAUGGAGACAGACAAUGUGUCCAAACCAGCAAGCAAAAAGCAGCUGAAGAAGAUGAUUGGGCUGGCAAAUACCAGCACUAAGCAAACUGCUUUCAAGAAACCAACGCAAGGGCAACUAAAAGCAGUCAAGGGGCAGGGCUUGAUCUGCUAUAAGUGUGGUGACGGGCACCGUGCUGCAGAGUGCACCUUUAGUGGCGACUGCCACGGUUGUGGCCGACAGGGCCACAAGGAUCGAGUGUGCAAAGCGAAUCCUAACAGCGUUGUCAAGUGGCAGCCGGCACAUGCACAAGACUUAGUCACGCCCUCACCAGGGUCUGUCUCCCGGCAGGCGACCCCUCAUGUGCCUUCUCCACCUCCAGCUUCCCCUGUCGCGGCUGCGCCGCCACAGACAACUGCUGAAACUCCUUCUGGCCCAACUUCGACACCACCACCGGAGUGCUUGCAGGAGACUCCUGCCAUGCCGACAGCUGUGUCAUUGGGUAAACCAGACGUGGUGACGCAACCGACAUCUUCAGCCCCUCAUCCUCCUACGGCUGUUCUAGCUCACCGGCCAAUGGCAGGACCAGGACAGUAUCAUCAAGUGGGUGCUUCUCGGCCGUUUCCAGCUUGGACACCACCACCAUGGUGCUUCUUGCAGGCGACUCCUGCUGUGCUAAGUCCACCUCCGGCUCCUGUGCCGCCACAUACGGGUGAUGGAAAAUUUUCUGCCCCAGCUCAGUCUGGAGUCUACGCCAUGUCAACAGCUGUGUCAUUGGGUAAACCAGACGUGAUGACGCAACGGGCAUCUUCAGCCCCUCAUCCUCCUACGGCAUUUCUAGCAGCUCACCGAUCAGUCACAGGACAGUAUCAUCAAGUGGGUGCUUCUCAGCUGCAACCGGCAUCUUCAGCCCCUCGUCCUCCUACGGCAGUUCUAGCUCACCAACCUGUCGCAGGACAGUAUCAUCAAGUGGGUGCUUCUCAGCUGCACCUGGCAUCUUCAGCCCCUCAUCCUCCUACGGCAGUUCUAGCUCACCAAUCAGUCGCAGGACAGUACCAUCAAGUGGGUGCUUCUCAGCUGCAUCCAGCUUGGACAUUUCCUCCGGGGUACUUCUGGCAGGCAAUGCAGCUUCUCCUGCAGCAGCGCCGCUCGUGA